AUGUUCCAGAAAGGAAGAGGAAGCGGCCAGGCAGGUGGUCCGAGCAGCAGCAAUCUUCUGUGCUGGCAGACGGGCCCUGACCACCCUGUGGGUCCUCAGCCCAUCCGCUGCCCCGUCCCUCCCGUCCACCCUGUGGCAGAGGCUUUUCACGGCAGCUCCGAGAACAGGAGGAAAGUCACCUCCAGCAUUUGUUCUGAGUCUGUUCCCUGGCAAGGUGAGGCCUCAGCUCUUCCGGCGCUCGUGAAAAUUUACGGCCAUCACAAAGGAGCUCAGCGGGUGGACUGCAGUGGUGGGCGGCACCCCCGUGAACCACCCUUUAUGAGCCGCUGCAGACACUUUGGCUCCGGGCUGGCAUCUCCCGCCACCCUCAUGACAGCAGCGGCUGCAGCCCCCACCUCUUGGGCUGGCCCCAUCACGGCAGCGAGGGCUCUGUGUGUGGACGGCCGCCCCCUGCAAGCGUGUUUGUUAACAGGGACUGUGAGGAGCUGUGGGGGACUCAGGGCACGGGGAACCGGGGUCUGGCUGAACAUCACUCCCUACUCUGAAAGGGCAGCGUUGGGACAAUGGCUGGGCUGGGUGAGGCUGAGUGGGCCAGGAGGGGCAAAGGGAGGGAGGGGGUGCGAGGCACGAGGCUGGAAGUAGGGAGACAGGGUGUCCCGCUCGCCGUCACCCGUCCAGCCCGUCUCGCUCACAAAUCCCUCUAGUCCACAGUGGCUGCCCCUUUAUUCCUGGAAGAACGGCUUGGGUUGGGGUCUGCGUCUGGGAUCGGGGAGAGCAGGGGGCUCGUGCCCGGGAGCCUGUGGACAAAGGCACCUGCUCCGUGCUAGAGAAGGUUCUGCCCCAGCGAGGGGGCCAUCAAGCCGGACAGCCCAGGGCCAGCCACACGGGGAGGCUGGGUUGGGGACAGCAGUCCUGGCACCUCUCCCUGAGAAGCAGCCUCCACAAGCUGUGCCUGAGCCGAGGGCACCACCCAGGUCAUCUCAGCCAGAGCCACGGCUGGGUCCAGGGGAGGGAUCGUGCCAACACGGUGACCUCCCAGCAGCUGUGUGAUGUGAAGGUUGUCUUUUUUUAUUUCUUUUUUUUUUUUUUUUGAGACAGAGUCUGGCUCUGUCGCCCAGGCUGGAGUGCAGUGGCGGGAUCUCAGCUCCCUGCAAGCUCCGCCUCCCGGGUUUACGCCAUUCUCCUGCCUCAGCCUCCCGAGUAGCUGGGACUACAGGCGCCUGUCACCACACCCGGCCAAUUUUUUCUAUUUUAGUAGAGACGGGGUUUCACCAUGUUAGCCAGGAUGGUCUCCAUCUCCUGACCUCGUGAUCCGCCCGUCUCAGCCUCCCAAAGUGCUGGGAUUACAGGCGUGAGCUACUGUGCCCAGCCGGACGUUUCCUUUUCAUAUCUUUACAUAUUCAAUUUCUUUAAUAGCCAAAGGGCUCUUUGGUAUCAGUUACAUUUUGGGUGAGUUUUGGUUGUGGUUUUCUACGAAUUGGUCCAUUUCUUCUAAGUUAUAAAAUUUACAUGGCUAGAGGGGAGCUGUUUGUGCCUUUGACUUUGUGUUUUGGACAGCCCCUAGACCAAAGAUGAGAUCUGACUGAGGCUGUGAGGGGCAGCUGUGCCCCGAGGCUGACGGGAGGAGCCAGAUGGGGCCUGGGAAGAUGGAGCCGUCCCAGAGUAGCCACACGGCUGUCAGGAGGGCACGGCGACUGGGCUGCUGUAGCAAACUGGGGAGCUUAAAGCAACAGAAACCCAUCCCCACUGUCCUGGAGGCCGAAAGUCUGAGCUCAAGGCUUGGGCAGAGCCAUGUUCCCACUGGAGGCUCCAGGGGAGGGUCCUCCUGCCCUUUCCAGCUCCCAGUGGCUUCAGGGGUUCCUCGGCCUGUGGCCGCAUUGCUCGUCUCUGCCUCUGACUUCACUUGACCACAUCCUCUGUCCGUGUUUUCUCCUCGCCUGUCUCUUAGAAGGACCCUUCCCACUGGAUUUAGGGCCCACCCUACUCCAGGACAGUCUCUUCUCAAAGCCCUCAACCUACUGACGUCUGUAGAGACCCUUUUCCAAAUAACGUCACAUCACAGGUUCUGGGGUGAGGACACGGACGUCUCUUUUCGGGAUUCAUCAUUCUCCUACUUAUUACGGUCUCUAGGCCUCCGGGUCGGCCCCUCUGCUGCCAGGGUUUGUGGGUGGCUCUGACCCUGUCCAGGUGUGGGUGUGCACGGCCCGACCAGAGAAAGGGUACCCCCCUGCCCCCAGUGUGGACCCGCAGACCCUGUGGAGGUGGGAGAAGGUGGCUCUCCAGCCCGUGGGGGUUUUGCUCAUUCUCAGCUCGGGGGUCGUGGGACGAGGAGGUCAGCGAAGCUGGCAAGUUAUUCACAAGGUGCUCGGUGUCUGGUUCCCACCUCAUAGGCCUGAGGACAAAGCUCAGCGUGUUCACCGUCAUCAUCAGGUCAUUUCCUUACUGCCACCGAGUGGCCGGGCUGGUCCCCUCACUGCCACCGAGUGGCCGGGCUCAUUCCUUUACUGCCACCGAGCGGCCGGGCUGGUCCCCUCACUGCCACCGAGUGGCCGGGCUCAUUCCUUUACUGCCACUGAGUGGCCGGGGCUGCUGCUUGGCGGUGGGGUCCCCAUCAUGGUAUCCAGAAAGGGCCGAGGGUGCUGGUCACGCGCUGCCCUGUGCUGAGUGAACGUGGCCAGGGCACGUGGACCGGCUGGUUUUUGGUGCCGCCUGUGGGGCCAUGGACUCAGCAUGCUCCGUGCUGUGAACUG
ensembl:lncRNA